rnacentral:tRNA from 1 species
GGUGGCUCAGUGGUAGAGUGCUUGCCUUCUGUGCAUGAGGCCCUGGGUUCAAUUCCUCAGCACCA